rnacentral:rRNA from 1 species
GAUGAACGCUAGCGACAGGCUUAACACAUGCAAGUCGAGGGGCAGCAGGGGAGUAGCAAUACUCCCGCUGGCGACCGGCGCACGGGUGAGUAACACGUAUGCAACCUGCCCUUGUCAGGGGGAUAAGCGGAAGAAAUUCCGUCUAAUACCGCAUAAUGCUGCGGGGAGACAUCUCCCUGCAGCCAAAGAUUUAUCGGACAAGGAUGGGCAUGCGGCGCAUUAGCUUGUUGGCGGGGUAACGGCCCACCAAGGCGACGAUGCGUAGGGGUUCUGAGAGGAAGGUCCCCCACACUGGUACUGAGACACGGACCAGACUCCUACGGGAGGCAGCAGUGAGGAAUAUUGGUCAAUGGCCGGGAGGCUGAACCAGCCAAGUCGCGUGAGGGAAGACGGUCCUAUGGAUUGUAAACCUCUUUUGUCAGGGAGCAAAAACUGCCACGUGUGGCAGGAUGAGAGUACCUGAAGAAAAAGCAUCGGCUAACUCCGUGCCAGCAGCCGCGGUAAUACGGAGGAUGCGAGCGUUAUCCGGAUUUAUUGGGUUUAAAGGGUGCGUAGGCGGACAGUUAAGUCAGCGGUAAAAUUGAGAGGCUCAACCUCUUCCCGCCGUUGAAACUGAUUGUCUUGAGUGGGCGAGAAGUAUGCGGAAUGCGUGGUGUAGCGGUGAAAUGCAUAGAUAUCACGCAGAACUCCGAUUGCGAAGGCAGCAUACCGGCGCCCAACUGACGCUGAAGCACGAAAGCGUGGGUAUCGAACAGGAUUAGAUACCCUGGUAGUCCACGCAGUAAACGAUGAAUACUAAUUGUUCGGGUCAAAUGAGAUCUGAGUGAUACAGCGAAAGCGUUAAGUAUUCCACCUGGGGAGUACGCCGGCAACGGUGAAACUCAAAGGAAUUGACGGGGGCCCGCACAAGCGGAGGAACAUGUGGUUUAAUUCGAUGAUACGCGAGGAACCUUACCCGGGCUCAAACGACACAGGAAUGAUCUGAGAAAUCAGGCAGUCCUCCGGGACCUGUGUCGAGGUGCUGCAUGGUUGUCGUCAGCUCGUGCCGUGAGGUGUCGGCUUAAGUGCCAUAACGAGCGCAACCCCCAUCGACAGUUGCCAGCAGGUCAAGCUGGGCACUCUGUCGAGACUGCCGGCGCAAGCUGUGAGGAAGGCGGGGAUGACGUCAAAUCAGCACGGCCCUUACGUCCGGGGCGACACACGUGUUACAAUGGCAGGUACAGCGGGAAGCCACCUGGCGACAGGGAGCGGAACCCGAAAGCCUGACUCAGUUCGGAUUGGAGUCUGCAACUCGACUCCAUGAAGCUGGAUUCGCUAGUAAUCGCGCAUCAGCCACGGCGCGGUGAAUACGUUCCCGGGCCU